GGGCACAUGGUGUAGUUGGUUAUCACGCUCGCUUAGCAACCCAUUGGGAUUUGAACCCAACGGAUUCCGGUGCGAGAGGUGUUGGGUUCAAUUCCCAAUGUGUCCA